GAUGAAGAACGCAGUGAAAUGCGAUAAGUAAUGUGAAUUGCAGAAUUCAGUGAAUCAUCGAAUCUUUGAACGCACAUUGCGCCCCCUGGUAUUCCGGGGGGCAUGCCUGUUCGAGCGUCAUUUCACCACUCAAGCCUCGCUUGGUAUUGGGCAACGCGGUCCGCCGCGUGCCUCAAAUCGACCGGCUGGGUCUUCUGUCCCCUAAGCGUUGUGGAGACUAUUCGCUAAAGGGUGUUCGGGAGGCUACGCCGUAAAACAACCCCAUUUCUAAGGUUGACCUCGGAUCAGGUAGGGAUACCCGCUGAACUUAAGCAUAUCAAUAAGCGGAGGA
rnacentral:misc_RNA from 1 species